UAUCAUCUGUUGCCAGCAUUUAAGGUGGGGACGUCAGAUGAGACUGCCGGUGACAAACCGGAGGAAGGUGGGGACGAACGUCAAGUCAUCAUGGCCCUUAUGUCCUGGGCGUACACACGUGCUACAAUGGCCGGUACAGAGUGAAGCGAAACCGCGAGGUGAAGCAAAACGCAGAAAGCCGGUCUCAGUACGGAUUGGAGUCUGAAACUCGACUUCAUGAAGUUGGAAUCGCUAGUAAUCGCGCAUCAGCAUGGCACGGUGAAUACGUUCCCGGGCCUU
rnacentral:rRNA from 1 species